CCAUUUUUGGAAUCAAGUUUAUUGGACAAAAAAGCUUUUUGAAACUUAUGUUCAAGAAAAUGUCACUUUAUAUUAUGUCAAUCGUUUUAGUGAUUUGUAUGUUCCUAAAACAUUUGCUUUGGCUGAGACAGAGAAAAUGUUGACUGCUACACUGUGGUACCAUGGGGCUAGGUAGCCAUACAAUAAUAUUUUGACCAACGACUAUAAAUGUGGCAACCUUUUUUUUUUUUUUUU